UGACCUCCUUUCCCCACCUCCUCUGUCCUAGAGCUUGCUGGGAAACCAGGAGGCCCGCGGGUGGGCGGAGGCCGCGAGGGUCGCGGCAGGCCCCGCCCAUCCCUCGGUCGCAGCGCGUCUUGGAGGCCCCCGGGGAGAGCUAGGGGAGAGUCGCUAAGUGCGGUUCCGGCUGUCGCAAACGCAGAAAUAGCCUUUCAGCUGUUUGCUGCCAAAGUGGCCUUUCAUUCAUUGCGUAGAUUCUCCCAGCCUGUAUGAUCAUACUUAGAGCCUGAAGUGCUGAAGUGCAGGUGUUCAAGAAGUUCUGCGUUUGAUCGUGAAGUGCCUAAUUAAGCAGCAGAGGCGGAAGGGAAAUGAAGGCUUCACCCCAGGCGGGGCUUGUAAACCAAUACGGAAAGGAGAGGCUUAAUGGAGUCUGAAAACCGUGGAAGAGUUUGACCAGUUAAAUGGGCUGGCUGGAGUAUCGGUGAUUUAGUUUAUUACUUAAGCUUGCACUUCUUUAAUCCUCCCUAGAAGGUGUAAGAUAUGGGGCGCCUGGGUGGCUCAGUCGGUGAAGCGUCUGCCUUCAGCUCAGGUCAUGAUCUUGAAGUCCUGGGAUCAAGCCCCACAUUGGGCUCCCCACUCAGCUGGGAGUCUGCUUCUCCAUCUGCCUCUCCCCCUGCUCAUCCUCUGCCUCUCCCUCUCAAAUAAAUAAAAUCUUUUAAAAAAUAAAUAAAAAAAUUUAAAAAUUUUGCCAGUAUAUCAGGAACUGCAUCCCUCUUCAGAUCCUGAAUUUGAUGUAUGAUAUUUUCAUGCAUCAUAAAUCAAUAAACAUCUAUGUAGUGAUCUUAUAUUUUAUACUGUUUUCAACUUUUGCUCUUCUUUAACCCUCCCUAGGAAUGAGAAGUGUGAGUUGAGUAAGA